GCGCGCAGAGAGGAAGGGGAAGCUCCACCUGUACUGGGCGGCUCCCCUCUUGGGGAAUCGAGAACUGCGAGGUCGAAGAAGGAGCACUCCCAUGGCCCCGCUGUGCUGAGGGAGGAGGUGGGGUUUUGCUGGAUGCUGCCAAAUGGGUAGGAUUUGCCUGAAUUGAAAGGAGGGGCCGUUUUCAGGAGGGGUCGUAAGGGACAAGGAGGAGAUAAUCACAAGCUGUCUGCUUUGAACCCCCUUUGCAUUUCCCCAUCUCUUCCUGGGGAGGAAUAUGUGGGUGUGCGCAUCCAACUCUUAUUCCCUUUCUCCGUGGCAGGCCAUCAAAGCCAAAUCCGAACUUGAAUUCUGUGCAGGCGAUUGCAGAGCUGUCUUGACGCCCUGAGGACUGGGAUCUGCAAACCCCACUGGACGGAAGUCAGGGCUGGGAUCUGCAAACCCCACUGGACGGAAGUCAGGGCUGGGAUCUGCAAUCCCCAGUGGACAGAGGUCGACCUACCCCGAAGGCGAGCUUUCCCAUGGAGGGCACCUGUUGCAGAGGCUGGAAAUGAAAUAAAGGCGUGUGCUUGUUUCCGAGCUUACGUUUUAUAAUCCGAGAAAUAAGGGGGGUAACUUUGAGAAGCGUGUGUGGUUGAGAUCUGAAACGUGAGUUUAACAGAUACCUUUAAUUUUUUUUGAGUAUAGUUAACACGCAAUGAUUUUAAUGGAUAUCUUAUUAUCACAAAUCUGUGAGAUUUAGACCAUUGCGCUCUAUUUUGAGAGCCCAAGAACAGCUCCACACACACUAUUUCACCUAGAAUCCAAAGCAACAGUUGCCCUCCCUCCUGGAGGACUGGCCAGAGGGAAUAGAUGGAACUCCAGAAAGUACUCUGCUAGCACAAGACACGUGGUAGUUCCAAAAAGUUGUAAUUGCCAGUCUCCUGCAGGGUAUUUUUGGGUCAGUGGGCAAAUAUAAAAUGUACUGCAGGGUGUUCAUUAAAGUAGAGCAACUGCAGACUACUUCCCUGCAAUAUACUACCUUAUUGACCUUUUUUCCCCUUUUUCUUUACAGUCCCUAUUGAGAUACAAGGAAGGCAGAGCCCGGAAACACUGCUUUGGGGAUUCCUCCGACAGAUGAGGCUUUUCUAAAAAGCCUGUGCAUCUUGUUAUAUUCAG
rnacentral:lncRNA from 1 species